rnacentral:misc_RNA from 1 species
AACGCACGAGACCUGCGGACCUGCGGAGGGAUCAUUAGUGAACGCCCUCACGGGCUUAUAACUAUUCCAAACCUCUGUGAACCGCGCCCUUCGGGGCUAUUUUACAAACAUGGUGUAAUGAACGUCAUAUAUCAUAACAAAACAAAACUUUUAGCAAUGGAUCUCU